rnacentral:rRNA from 1 species
ACGCUGGCGGCGUGCCUAAUACAUGCAAGUUGAGCGCUGAAGGUUGGUACUUGUACCGACUGGAUGAGCAGCGAACGGGUGAGUAACGCGUGGGGAAUCUGCCUUUGAGCGGGGGACAACAUUUGGAAACGAAUGCUAAUACCGCAUAAAAACUUUAAACACAAGUUUUAAGUUUGAAAGAUGCAAUUGCAUCACUCAAAGAUGAUCCCGCGUUGUAUUAGCUAGUUGGUGAGGUAAAGGCUCACCAAGGCGAUGAUACAUAGCCGACCUGAGAGGGUGAUCGGCCACAUUGGGACUGAGACACGGCCCAAACUCCUACGGGAGGCAGCAGUAGGGAAUCUUCGGCAAUGGACGAAAGUCUGACCGAGCAACGCCGCGUGAGUGAAGAAGGUUUUCGGAUCGUAAAACUCUGUUGGUAGAGAAGAACGUUGGUGAGAGUGGAAAGCUCAUCAAGUGACGGUAACUACCCAGAAAGGGACGGCUAACUACGUG